rnacentral:rRNA from 1 species
CAGGCUUAACACAUGCAAGUCGAGGGGCAGCAUGGUCUUAGCUUGCUAAGACUGAUGGCGACCGGCGCACGGGUGAGUAACACGUAUCCAACCUGCCGUCUACUCUUGGACAGCCUUCUGAAAGGAAGAUUAAUACAAGAUGGCAUCAUGAGUCCGCAUGUUCACAUGAUUAAAGGUAUUCCGGUAGACGAUGGGGAUGCGUUCCAUUAGAUAGUAGGCGGGGUAACGGCCCACCUAGUCUUCGAUGGAUAGGGGUUCUGAGAGGAAGGUCCCCCACAUUGGAACUGAGACACGGUCCAAACUCCUACGGGAGGCAGCAGUGAGGAAUAUUGGUCAAUGGGCGAGAGCCUGAACCAGCCAAGUAGCGUGAAGGAUGACUGCCCUAUGGGUUGUAAACUUCUUUUAUAAAGGAAUAAAGUCGGGUAUGGAUACCCGUUUGCAUGUACUUUAUGAAUAAGGAUCGGCUAACUCCGUGCCAGCAGCCGCGGUAAUACGGAGGAUCCGAGCGUUAUCCGGAUUUAUUGGGUUUAAAGGGAGCGUAGAUGGAUGUUUAAGUCAGUUGUGAAAGUUUGCGGCUCAACCGUAAAAUUGCAGUUGAUACUGGAUAUCUUGAGUGCAGUUGAGGCAGGCGGAAUUCGUGGUGUAGCGGUGAAAUGCUUAGAUAUCACGAAGAACUCCGAUUGCGAAGGCAGCCUGCUAAGCUGCAACUGACAUUGAGGCUCGAAAGUGUGGGUAUCAAACAGGAUUAGAUACCCUGGUAGUCCACACGGUAAACGAUGAAUACUCGCUGUUUGCGAUAUACUGCAAGCGGCCAAGCGAAAGCGUUAAGUAUUCCACCUGGGGAGUACGCCGGCAACGGUGAAACUCAAAGGAAUUGACGGGGGCCCGCACAAGCGGAGGAACAUGUGGUUUAAUUCGAUGAUACGCGAGGAACCUUACCCGGGCUUAAAUUGCAGAUGAAUUACGGUGAAAGCCGUAAGCCGCAAGGCAUCUGUGAAGGUGCUGCAUGGUUGUCGUCAGCUCGUGCCGUGAGGUGUCGGCUUAAGUGCCAUAACGAGCGCAACCCUUGUUGUCAGUUACUAACAGGUUCCGCUGAGGACUCUGACAAGACUGCCAUCGUAAGAUGUGAGGAAGGUGGGGAUGACGUCAAAUCAGCACGGCCCUUACGUCCGGGGCUACACACGUGUUACAAUGGGGGGUACAGAGGGCCGCUACCACGCGAGUGGAUGCCAAUCCCAAAAACCUCUCUCAGUUCGGACUGGAGUCUGCAACCCGACUCCACGAAGCUGGAUUCGCUAGUAAUCGCGCAUCAGCCACGGCGCGGUGAAUACGUUCCCGGGCCUUGUACACACCGCCCGUCAAGCCAUGGGAGCCGGGGGUACCUGAAGUGCGUAACCGCGAGGAGCGCCCUAGGGUAAAACUGGUGACUGGGGCUA